rnacentral:rRNA from 1 species
GCAAGUCGAGCGAUCGAUGGGAGCUUGCUCCCCUGAGAUUAGCGGCGGACGGGUGAGUAACACGUGGGCAACCUGCCUAUAAGACUGGGAUAACUUCGGGAAACCGGAGCUAAUACCGGAUACGUUCUUUUCUCGCAUGAGAGAAGAUGGAAAGACGGUUUACGCUGUCACUUAUAGAUGGGCCCGCGGCGCAUUAGCUAGUUGGUGAGGUAAUGGCUCACCAAGGCGACGAUGCGUAGCCGACCUGAGAGGGUGAUCGGCCACACUGGGACUGAGACACGGCCCAGACUCCUACGGGAGGCAGCAGUAGGGAAUCUUCCGCAAUGGACGAAAGUCUGACGGAGCAACGCCGCGUGAACGAAGAAGGCCUUCGGGUCGUAAAGUUCUGUUGUUAGGGAAGAACAAGUACCAGAGUAACUGCUGGUACCUUGACGGUACCUAACCAGAAAGCCACGGCUAACUACGUGCCAGCAGCCGCGGUAAUACGUAGGUGGCAAGCGUUGUCCGGAAUUAUUGGGCGUAAAGCGCGCGCAGGUGGUUCCUUAAGUCUGAUGUGAAAGCCCACGGCUCAACCGUGGAGGGUCAUUGGAAACUGGGGAACUUGAGUGCAGAAGA